GGUCCAGCCCCAGCGGGUCCAGGGGUCCCCAAAGGUGUGGACGAAGUCGGCGAAGAAGGAAUGACAUGGAGACAGCGUUCAGUUGAUCAGCAGCCUAGCCAGGAUCUCUAGCCAGGAUCUCCAGCCAAGUUCUGGUCUGGAUCUCCAGCGAAGUUCUGGUCUGGAUCUCCAGCGAAGUUCUGGUUAGGAUCUCCAGCCAGGUUCUGUGUCCAUGUUCUCUUGCUAGGUUCUCCAGCCAGGUUCUAUAGCCAUGUUCCCUCGCUAGGUUCUCCAGCCAGGUUCUGUCCAGGUUCUCCAGCCAGGUUCAGUCACCAGGUUCUAGUCAGGUUCUCUUGCCAAUUUCUGUAGUCAGGUUCAGUCCAGGAUCUUUUGCCAUGUUCUCUCGCUAGGUUCUGUCUCUAGGUUCUGUGCCUCUUGGUUCUGUGUAGGUUCUGUGUCUAGGUUCUGUGUCUAGGUUCUGUGUCUAGGUUCUGUCUCUAGGUUCUUCAGCCAGGUUCUCUUGCUAGGUUCUGUCUCUAGGUUCUGUGUAGGUUCUGUGUCUAGGUUCUGUGUCUAGGUUCUGUGUCCUGUUGUCUUGUUACAUCUGUAUUUAUACCAGUUGAUUCCAAUCCUAUCAAUCUCUAUUCCAAAGGUUAGGGCGUUUCUUAUCUCCAUUCCAGGGAGUAAAGAUUAUGUAGCUUAAGCAUGAUUGUUCGUAGUUAAAGUGAUUAAUU